rnacentral:rRNA from 1 species
CAAUAGCGUAUAUUAAAGUUGUUGCGGUUAAAAAGCUCGUAGUUGGAUUUCUGUUGAAAACAGCCGGUCCGCCUCUUGGGUGAGUAUCUGGAUUGGUUUCGGCAUCCUCUCAAAAACCGUUAGUGUGCUUCAUUGCAUGCUGCGGAGUUUGGGACUUUUACUUUGAGGAAAUUAGAGUGUUCACGGCAGGCAUUCGCCUUGAAUAUGUUAGCAUGGAAUAAUACUAUAGGAUCUUGGUUCUAUUUUGUUGGUUUCUAGGGCUAAGAUAAUGAUUAAUAGGGACGAAUUGGGGGCGAUUCGUAUUAAUGCGUCAGAGGUGAAAUUCUUGGAUUGCAUUACGACGAACUACUGCGAAAGACAUUUGUCCAAGGAUGUUUUCUAUUGAUCAAGAACGAAAGUAAGGGAGUCGAAGAUGAUCAGAUACCAU